rnacentral:rRNA from 1 species
GGAAUCUUGGACAAUGGGGGCAACCCUGAUCCAGCCAUGCCGCGUGUGUGAAGAAGGCCUUCGGGUUGUAAAGCACUUUAAGUUGGGAGGAAGGCUCAGGUGUUAAUAGCAUCUGGGAUUGACGUUACCAACAGAAUAAGCACCGGCUAACUCCGUGCCAGCAGCCGCGGUAAUACGGAGGGUGCAAGCGUUAAUCGGAAUUACUGGGCGUAAAGCGCGCGUAGGCGGCUGAUUAAGUCGGGUGUGAAAGCCCCGGGCUCAACCUGGGAAUUGCAUCCGAUACUGAUCGGCUAGAGUAUGAGAGAGGGAGGUAGAAUUCCACGUGUAGCGGUGAAAUGCGUAGAUAUGUGGAGGAAUACCGGUGGCGAAGGCGGCCUCCUGGCUUAAUACUGACGCUGAGGUGCGAAAGCGUGGGGAGCAAAC